UGUCUAAACGGAGUUCAACAAUUUAACUAUUUAAAAAAAAAGGAAAUUUCAGCAAGAGCUACAAAUGUUUUUUGAUGUAUUUUUGGACCGUGACAAGUGCACAACGUAAUGUUUAGGGCUUGGUCUGGACAUGGCUUUCCAACGUAAUCGUCUUCGAAAAGCAUAAAAAGUAUCAGGGAUUUUUGGAAAUUGGCAGAGGAAUCGAAGGAAAACCUAUAGUCAAGACACCCCAUCAGUCUAAUCCAGAAGAAAAUCAAAUAUGUAAACAAAAGUGUAUGAAUCUUAGCUUAGUGGAAUACUUAUGUCAAAAAGCAUCUUCGAAAAAUAUUUGUUUUUAAUAUAGUUAGUUACAUAUAUGAAACUUUUCUAAUUUUAGUAACAACUGUACUGCCAUGUUUAUUAAAUUUGUUAUACUUAAUU